GUGUGGUUUCCUGUAGUGUUGUAGAAGGAAGGUCAACAUCCAUCAAGAUGGAGGAGGUGAGUGGUGUGGUUUCCUGUAGUGUUGUAGAAGGAAGGUCAACAUCCAUCAAGAUGGAGGAGGUGAGUGGUGUGGUUUCCUGUAGUGUUGUAGAAGGAAGGUCAACAUCCAUCAAGAUGGAGGAGGUGAGUGGUGUGGUUUCCUGUAGUGUUGUAGAAGGUCAACAACCAUCAAGAUGGAGGAGGUGAGUGGUGUGGUUUCCUGUAGUGUUGUAGAAGGAAGGUCAACAUCCAUCAAGAUGGAGGAGGUGAGUGGUGUGGUUUCCUGUAGUGUUGUAGGAGGGUCAACAACCAUCAAGAUGGAGGAGGUGAGUGGUGUGGUUUCCUGUAGUGUUGUAGAAGGAAGGUCAACAUCCAUCAAGAUGGAGGAGGUGAGUGGUGUGGUUUCCUGUAGUGUUGUAGAAGGAAGGUCAACAUCCAUCAAGAUGGAGGAGGUGAGUGGUGUGGUUUCCUGUAGUGUUGUAGAAGGUCAACAACCAUCAAGAUGGAGGAGGUGAGUGGUGUGGUUUCCUGUAGUGUUGUAGAAGGAAGGUCAACAUCCAUCAAGAUGGAGGAGGUGAGUGGUGUGGUUUCCUGUAGUGUUGUAGAAGGAAGGUCAACAACCAUCAAGAUGGAGGAGGUGAGUGGUGUGGUUUCCUGUAGUGUUGUAGAAGGAAGGUCAACAACCAUCAAGAUGGAGGAGGUGAGUGGUGUGGUUUCCUGUAGUGUUGUAGAAGGAAGGUCAACAACCAUCAAGAUGGAGGAGGUGAGUGGUGUGGUUUCCUGUAGUGUUGUAGAAGGAAGGUCCACAACCAUCAAGAUGGAGGAGGUGAGUGGUGUGGUUUCCUGUAGUGUUGUAGAAGGAAGGUCAACAACCAUCAAGAUGGAGGAGGUGAGUGGUGUGGUUUCCUGUAGUGUUGUAGAAGGAAGGUCAACAACCAUCAAGAUGGAGGAGGUGAGUGGUGUGGUUUCCUGUAGUGUUGUAGAAGGAAGGUCAACAACCAUCAAGAUGGAGGAGGUGAGUGGUGUGGUUUCCUGUAGUGUUGUAGAAGGUCAACAACCAUCAAGAUGGAGGAGGUGAGUGGUGUGGUUUCCUGUAGUGUUGUAGAAGGAAGGUCAACAUCCAUCAAGAUGGAGGAGGUGAGUGGUGUGGUUUCCUGUAGUGUUGUAGAAGGAAGGUCAACAUCCAUCAAGAUGGAGGAGGUGAGUGGUGUGGUUUCCUGUAGUGUUGUAGAAGGAAGGUCAACAUCCAUCAAGAUGGAGGAGGUGAGUGGUGUGGUUUCCUGUAGUGUUGUAGAAGGUCAACAACCAUCAAGAUGGAGGAGGUGAGUGGUGUGGUUUCCUGUAGUGUUGUAGAAGGUCAACAACCAUCAAGAUGGAGGAGGUGAGUGGUGUGGUUUCCUGUAGUGUUGUAGGAGGGUCAACAACCAUCAAGAUGGAGGAGGUGAGUGGUGUGGUUUCCUGUACUGUUGUAGAAGGUCAACAACCAUCAAGAUGGAGGAGGUGAGUGGUGUGGUUUCCUGUAGUGUUGUAGGAGGGUCAACAACCAUCAAGAUGGAGGAGGUGAGUGGUGUGGUUUCCUGUAGUGUUGUAGGAGGGUCAACAACUAUCAAGAUGGAGGAGGUGAGUGGUGUGGUUUCCUGUAGUGUUGUAGGAGGGUCAACAACCAUCAAGAUGGAGGAGGUGAGUGGUGUGGUUUCCUGUAGUGUUGUAGGAGGGUCAACAACCAUCAAGAUGGAGGAGGUGAGUGGUGUGGUUUCCUGUAGUGUUGUAGAAGGAAGGUCAACAUCCAUCAAGAUGGAGGUGAGUGGUGUGGUUUCCUGUAGUGUUGUAGACGGGAGGUCAACAUCCAUCAAGAUGGAGGAGGUGAGUGGUGUGGUUUCCUGUAGUGUUGUAGAAGGAAGGUCAACAUCCAUCAAGAUGGAGGAGGUGAGUGGUGUGGUUUCCUGUAGUGUUGUAGAAGGUCAACAACCAUCAAGAUGGAGGAGGUGAGUGGUGUGGUUUCCUGUAGUGUUGUAGAAGGAAGGUCAACAUCCAUCAAGAUGGAGGAGGUGAGUGGUGUGGUUUCCUGUAGUGUUGUAGGAGGGUCAACAACCAUCAAGAUGGAGGAGGUGAGUGGUGUGGUUUCCUGUAGUGUUGUAGAAGGAAGGUCAACAACCAUCAAGAUGGAGGAGGUGAGUGGUGUGGUUUCCUGUAGUGUUGUAGAAGGAAGGUCAACAACCAUCAAGAUGGAGGAGGUGAGUAUUGUGGUUUCCUGUAGUGUUGUAGACUGACACUGUGACUCCUCCUCUCCUACUGCUUGUCCGGGUUUCUUUAUUACAUCUCCGAGGGUUUUACACAUCAAUCUGCCUCUUUUGAAGCAUUAUAAAAGCUAGGCGCCCAUACUGACGUGUCCUCUUUAUUAUUGGGCCCACUAAUAACCCGUACAUAAUAACUGUCCUCCUGUAUAGCUCAAUUGGCAGUGGCAUGGUGUUUGCAACUCCAGGAUUGUGAGUUUGAUUCAUAUUUGGGGACUCUGUUUAGUUCAAUUCAGUCUGGUAUGAGAACGGUAUUCAGUCUGCGGAAAGCUGAGUAUCCUGGCUAUUGAGCUGUUCCUUAAAAUCUUUGGUGUGAUUUGCUAAUAUAUAUGAGCAUCCGAAUGUAUAACGGCAGGCUGAGCCGACGACCUCAUUUCAAGAUGGCUGCUACCUACAUUCCGGUUAGCGUUGUGAAGCAUAAACUAAAUAAACAUGGAAUACGUCGAUACACAUCGAAAGCCGGGACUCCACAGAUCAUGACGGUGUGUUAUUUUUCUGCCUGUGACCUACCGUUAUUGAUCACCGGCCCCGAGAGUCAAAAUGUUUAUUUUACACAAAGUUUUCACCAAACAUCUUACAAGGUAAGCUUCGAUUAGGUCUGUGUUUGAGCUAUAGCCAUAUGUGGGGGUAUGAAGUUUAAUCCUUAGGUUGGUAGAAACAAAUCUAGUCUAUUUGCUAAUGUUAUCUGAUGUAUGACUUAAUGGCCACGUCGAACGUCCACCGAGUGACUAUCUUUGCACAACAAAAAAAUUACGUUGCCUGCUUACACCCCGUAGGCAUUCAUUACACACGGGAUUGGCUACUAUGGCACCUUGACAAUCUUGUAGCCAAUGAGAUAAGCUUUUCAGGGAUAUGCAGUUGACCUGGGUGGAAUAAAGCAAGGUUUAGAACCUUUUUAUGCGUAAUGCGAACUAUUGUUACCUGGCUCAGACACGAGACGCACCAAUUACAUUGUAAACAUAUUUCAUCGCUUUAACAUAAAAGAUUGCUUCUCAAGGGGGGGGGGAAAGGUAAGAACUAAGAAUAUUGAACAGGAAGCUAAAAAGAAGGUCGCUAUGAGUAAGUAUACCGACAUAGAAGCUUUGAAUAAAAUACUGGACGGACUCGGAUCAGGGGAGCCAUUUGGACAACAAGGAUUUCGACUUGGCCGACAAAGAUUGCUUUCUAGAAGGAUUGGAUCCACUUUUAGAUCUGAGGAAGCAGAGUAUUUGGAUGAUGUUUGGGAGCCACCCCUCCCCAGCAAGUGCCCCCGCCGGUCAAGGUCUGCCUUUAGGGAAGUAACCAUGUCAGAAAUGCCAGUUCACUUUUUGUUUCCUGGCAGAGAGGGACUGCUUCAAAGACUAUCACGACAUGCACAAGCUGCUGUGAAGGGUGAAAUCUAAUCAUCUACACCUGGGAUGUAAAACAAACACGAAUGCCAUUUGUAAGGUGUUCAGCUUAUUUGUUUUUGCUAAAAAAAAAUUGUGAAGGACACGUGUGUAACCAAGUUUGUGUUUGAUAAUACUUUUUUUUAAAUAUAUAUUUUUUGUUUAUCUGUUGCUUUUUAUAUUGUUUUUGUGAACAGUUAAUUUGUAUGUGGGACCAAUACAUUAGAUAUGCCUAGGCUAAAUGUUCAGGCACUUUGGAGAGUGCCCCUGAAACCACCACGAUGUUUGAGAGAGGUUGGUGUUGUAGAAGUUUAGUUUUUAUAGUGAACAAUAGUAGCUAGUUACUUUUAGGCACAUCCAGUGUGCAAAAACAGUGCAGUUACCAAAUUCGGAUACUUUGGAGAGGUUGAAAGGACACUUGAAUUUACCCUGGACACCCCAAAACAUUGUGGUUGUGUUAGAGUGAGGUUGAUAUGGUAGAAAUAGUUUUUAUACUGAACAAAUAGCAUUUAGGAAUUGCAAAUAUGUAAUAGCACUGGAAUUAUCUAAUUUACAGACAUAUGCCACUUUGGAGAGGUUUAGGGACACUUGGAAAUGUCCUGUGACCACACCUGACACCACUUACUAAAACAUCUACCCAUUUUGAGUUGUUAGGUCUCAAUCCCCCCCCAAAGAAUUCUGAUAUUGUGCACAUGUUGUGGAAGCCAUCUGAUGUGUUUCCUGCUCUGGGCAUCAAUACGUCACUUAUAGCUUGUCAAUGAAAGAUGACUUUCAAAAUAAAAAAACUAAAUACCGGUUA